GUAACAUUCAGAGAUGUGGCUGUAGACUUCUCUGAGGAAGAGUGGGAGUGCCUGAAUGUGGAACAGAGGACUUUGUACACAGAUGUGAUGAUGGAGAUCUACAGCCACCUAAUCUCAGUGGAAACAAGAAAAGCCCCCAGGAUGAUUUUGAUGGGUGAGACAAGAGGCCUCUAUCCAGACACAGAUUUCAGUUCUCAGAACAAGAAGUUAUUGAAUAAAACUAACACAUAUGAAGAAUUAUCUCAGUGGGAAAUGAAGGAAUUUUCUA